rnacentral:rRNA from 1 species
GAUGAACGCUGGCGGCGUGCCUAAUACAUGCAAGUCGAGCGAACGGACGAGAAGCUUGCUUCUCUGAUGUUAGCGGCGGACGGGUGAGUAACACGUGGAUAACCUACCUAUAAGACUGGGAUAACUUCGGGAAACCGGAGCUAAUACCGGAUAAUAUUUUGAACCGCAUGGUUCAAAAGUGAAAGACGGUCUUGCUGUCACUUAUAGAUGGAUCCGCGCUGCAUUAGCUAGUUGGUAAGGUAACGGCUUACCAAGGCAACGAUGCAUAGACGACCGCUGAGGGGGGUCGGCCACCCUGGAAGUGGACCACGGUCAAUACUCCUACGGGAGGCAGCAGUAGGGAAUGUGCCGCAAUGGGCGAAAGCCUGACGGAGCGACGCGGCGUGAGUGAUGAAGGUCUUCGGUUCGUAAAACUCUGUUAUUAGGGAAGAACAGAUGUGUAAGUAACUGUGCCCAGCGUGACGGUAACUAGUCAGAAAGCAACGGCUAACUACGUG